rnacentral:rRNA from 1 species
GACGAACGCUGGCGGCGUGCUUAACACAUGCAAGUCGAACGAUGAACUUGGAGCUUGCUCUGGGGGAUUAGUGGCGAACGGGUGAGUAACACGUGAGUAACCUGCCCUGGACUCUGGGAUAACUUCGAGAAAUCGGAGCUAAUACCGGAUAGGACCUUGCACCGCAUGGUGUGGGGUGGAAAGUUUUUCGGUUUGGGAUGGACUCGCGGCCUAUCAGCUUGUUGGUGAGGUAAUGGCUCACCAAGGCGUCGACGGGUAGCCGGCCUGAGAGGGUGACCGGCCACACUGGGACUGAGACACGGCCCAGACUCCCACGGGAGGCAGCAGUGGGGAAUAUUGCACAAUGGGCGCAAGCCUGAUGCAGCAACGCCGCGUGCGGGAUGACGGCCUUCGGGUUGUAAACCGCUUUUAGUAGGGAAGAAGCCUUCGGGUGACGGUACCUGCAGAAAAAGGACCGGCUAACUACGUGCCAGCAGCCGCGGUAAGAC